AAGUCGUAACAAGGUUUCCGUAGGUGAACCUGCGGAAGGAUCAUUAUCGAAAAGCGUUGGGGCUUCCGGGCCCCAUUUUCGACCUUACCCUGUGCACCGUGCCUUUUUUUCGCGCUCACAAUGUCGAGGAUGACCAGCUUAUAACAAUGGCACAAAAUGAAGCAACGGAUCUCUUGGCUCUC
rnacentral:misc_RNA from 1 species